GGAACGGCGAGACAAAUUUCAUAUAAACAACCAUAAAGAUCCGUCAACGAGUAUAAGGAUCCCCCGAUGUGAUCCUACCCGGUAUCGGAGAAGGCGGACUCGACAUCCAAAGUUAGAGAAGGUGAGAAUGGUCAGGAAUUAGGGUCCUUUAAGAAUUAGUAAGAACGACCCAUCACCAAAGUUCCUAUAUGCAUGUAAUUAAGCUGGAUUAUGAACAAAUCUACAAUCUUUGGUAUCCUAUGAAUUAGAGUUAGCUUCUUACUUCACCUAUAGUCUAUACAUCUCCCUGAUUGAGAUUUGUACCAAACUUGCUUCAUCAAUCUGAAUUGAUUCAAUACUCAAUCUAAUUCUUUGAAUGUGAUAAGAACCAAACCAUCACACUUUUAUUUUGUUUUUUUUUUUUCCAAACUUAAACAUGAGAACCAAAUAAAAACAUAAAC